AUUGAACGCUGGCGGCAUGCCUUACACAUGCAAGUCGAACGGCAGCACGGGGCAACCUGGUGGCGAGUGGCGAACGGGUGAGUAAUGCAUCGGAACGUACCUUUCAGUGGGGGAUAACGUAGCGAAAGUUACGCUAAUACCGCAUAUUCUGUGAGCAGGAAAGCAGGGGAUCGCAAGACCUUGCGCUGAUUGAGCGGCCGAUGUCAGAUUAGCUAGUUGGUGAGGUAAAGGCUCACCAAGGCGACGACCUGUAGCGGGUCUGAGAGGAUGAUCCGCCACGAUAGAACUGAGACACGGUCCAGACUCCUACGGGAGGCAGCAGUGGGGAAUUUUGGACAAUGGGGGCAACCCUGAUCCAGCCAUGCGGCGUGAGUGAAGAAGGCCUUCGGGUUGUAAAGCUAUUUCGGCCGGGAAGAAAUCGCACGGGCUAAUACCCUGUGUGGAUGACGGUACCGGAAUAAGAAGCACCGGCUAACUACGUGCCAGCCGCCGCCGUAA
rnacentral:rRNA from 1 species